CGAGGCACUGCAGUCACGGAAGGAGAGUUGUGUUCGCUGACGAUGCGGACGGUGAUAUGCUGGAAUGCUGAGAGGGGGAAAUACUGGAACGGACUAUACCGAAACGCCAGACCAAGAGGGGGACCUUCGGGCCUCUUGCCUCGGAUGGCCCAGAUGGAUACUAUAGGGGUACGGUCCCUAGGCACAUCCCUACUGGCUGAAGGUGACACCACCUGGAUGAACCGUCAACUCCACGAGGACAUGGGAUUUGCAGGCCCCCGUCGCUGCCCGGAGUACGCUUCCGUGAAGAUUUCACGCACACAAUAGUGAUACCAGAUCAGUACCGAUCCUUAUACCCCGCGUGGUUCCCGAUCCAAGGUGCUCGAUCGGCGGCCGAUGCGGUCUCGGGACGCUAAAGUAUUAUCCUCUGCGUAAUCUAACCAGUCUCUCCCGAGUGUAGUGCCUGGAAUCCCGUGUCCAGUCGACGGCCAUCGGGGCGCUCCCCACACAGACCCCAGACGUCCCCCACACUACCUCGGCUCCAGGAAG
rnacentral:rRNA from 1 species